AAUGGCCUAGGGGCUGAACCAGUAACUUGGAAGAAUGAAAAACGACUAAAUCGUAUAAAAUUCUAGAUAAAAAAAUGAUCGUGACAACUAUUUAUCUAAAAGUCUUGUCCAAAUUACGUGCCAGCAGACGCGGUAAUACGUAGAAGACUAGUGUUAUUCAUCUUUAAUGGGUUUAAAGGGUACCUAGACGGAAAACCAAGCCAUAAUAGGUACUAGUUUUCUAGAGUUUUAUGUGAGAAGGUAGAAUUUAAGGAGCAGAGUUGAUAUUCGAUUAUACCGUAAGGACUGGUAACGGCGAAGGCAACCUUCUAUGUAUACAUAAUAGCAACCAAACCCCACUUUCUUUUUAAGAAGUUUCAAUGGGGUUUGUUAAAGAUAACUGUGUGUAACUAACACGAUAGUGAUGAUUAAAUUCUUUUCUUUAAGGAAAAGGAUUUAAUUAUUGUGAUCUUGCUGGAACUGACGUUGAGGGACGAAGCCUAGGGUAGCGAUAAGGAUUAGAGACCCUAAUAGUCCUAGGAGAAAAAUAUGAAUGUCAUAGGCUAGGUAUUUUUAGUCUAUAAAUGAAAGUGUAAGCAUUCCACCUCAUGAGUAAAGCGGCAACGCUCAAAUUGAAAUCAUUAGACCGUACUUGAAACCAGUAGUGAAGUAUGUUAUUUAAUUCGAUGAUCCGCGAAUAACCUUACCACAAUUUGAAUAUUUUUAAGUAAUAAUAGUUAUUAUAAAAAAAAUACAAGUGCUGCACGGCUGUUUUUAGCUAAUGUCGUGAGAUAAGGUUAACUCCUGAAAUUAGCGCAAGCCCUUGCUUUAUUUUAUAUUUUAUUUAUUCACUUAUUCAUAUAUGAAUAAAUUACAUAAAGUAUUUCGGCCAUUAUAUUGGUUAGAAUAAAAGGGAUUAAGACAAGUCAUCAUGGCCUUAAUAUUGUGGGCUAUAGACGUGCCACAUAUGCCUUUACAAAAGGAAGCAAAAUCGUGAGAAUUAGCUAAUCCUCAAAAAAGGACAUAACCAUUCGU
rnacentral:rRNA from 1 species